GCACGCUGGAGCCGGGGCAAAACACUGUGGCGGAAAAUAUCCUUCUUGCUCCUCACCUGCCGGGACACCAGAAGCAUCGCUACUGAAGCACCUCAGCAUGUAGCACGGGAUGCCUGCUGUAAGGACGUUCCAUAGAGGGGUCCAGGAUGGGCUUGUGUCUGAGGAGCUGACUGAGAAUGGUGGCUCUGUGUACUGGGUCCUCCACCCCAGCCUCCUUCAGCUCUUCAUCAGUCACAGUCAGCAAGCCCUCCAGAAACAGAGAGAGAGAGGAAAACAUGUGUUCAGUGCUGCUACUGAAACAUGCACAGACAUAAUAUCAAUAUGAACUGUUCAUCCGACUGACCACACACUUGGCGUGUGUGUUGAUGAGGACCCAAGGAAGUGCAGUGUCAAGAGCUGAAGUUGUUUGAGAGGUUCUCAAAAUAGCUGCAAGCAGCAAUUCCGGAGGUCGAGCAAACGGCCCACUCCCAUCGGCAUUGAAAGGUGUCUCGUUUGGGGUUUGCCAUUAGUGCACUUCUCCUUGAACGGUGGGAUCGCCCUGCGAGGCCAAUCAAGACGAGCGCUGGGAUCCCUUUCAAAGCGACUAACCACAGAGCAGUGGUUAGAGGGGACCGUCAG